rnacentral:lncRNA from 1 species
AAGCUUCAAAUUAUAUCCGUUACCUUGCAUAAUAGUCACUCGGGAUUGGUUUUCCUUGAUUCUUGUGGGACAUUGUUGUGUAGAAAUGUAUGUAUGAGAUGUUGAGAUGACGUGAUGUGGCCUUGAGUUGGAGAGAUGACGACUUUGCCCCUCACCAGAGUUAUCGCCGGUUUGGGUUGGUAAAGCAGACGUUGAUCAGGGUUAUUGCUGAGAUUUGACUGCUGUAAGUGUUG